rnacentral:rRNA from 1 species
UACGUAUGGUGCAAGCGUUAUCCGGAUUUACUGGGUGUAAAGGGAGCGCAGGCGGCGCGUUAAGCCUGGUGUGAAAGCCCGCGGCCCAACCGCGGGACUGCAUUGGGAACUGGCGCGCUGGAGUGCCGGAGGGGUAGGCGGAAUUCCUAGUGUAGCGGUGAAAUGCGUAGGUAUUAGGAGGAACACCAGUGGCGAAGGCGGCCUACUGGACGGUGACUGACGCUGAGGCUCGAAAGCGUGGGGAGCAAACAGG